CACAAAUAAUUUGGUGGGACAAGUAAAAAUACAAGUAACAAUAGGUUAAAAGAUAAUACCAGGUAUAUCAUAAAUCGAGCCAUUUUUACCAUGUUUGAUUUUAGCCACUUUUAAACAGCUCUUUUAGAUUGUAUUUCAUUUAGACUUGGUGUCCCUUCGAUGCCUACAGACAUUUAAAAAAUAAUGGCAGUAUCAUGAUAAAGAAAUUAAUCACUAUGCUAGCUCACUUUCACACAUUUUUUCUUGGUUCAUUCCAAAAUUAAAUUUCUUACUGUAUGUUUAUGUACAUCGUGUACAUUGGAAGAUUUCUAUCAAAAAGGGUUGUUAACCUUUUUUCCUACUGUAAAAAUCUAUUGUAAAAGUAGGUGGAAUGUUUAUUCAUAUCACAAUUGUUGUAUUAAACAAAAAAGGCAAAUAAAAUAAGUCAGUAAAUAAAUUUAAUAAAAUAGAAUGUAAAGUACAUCAAAUUUUAUUUGAAAAAAUUUUUGUACACACCAACAAAUUAAUAAGCAAAUGUGAUUUCUUGAAUAAUAAAACUCUGGCAAAAUUCUCAAUAAAGCCAGGGUCCUAAAAUGAUUAGAAUAAGCCCCAUUGCAUGUUUUAAAAAAUGAUAUGAAGCCUUUAAUAGCAGCAAAUCAAAUCUAUGAUUCUUUAUUAUCCUAUUGUGAUUUUUUCACAACUAUUGUUCCUAUGUCUUUUUCUAAACAUUUGAUCAAAAAACAUUUCAACUAAUAUAAUUCAACUUAUGAAUAACUAGAGAUGAUCUAAUGAUUGAAAAAAAUAUAUGUUUUAUGCAAAAUAAAAAGUUGUUCGAAACUCAUUUUUCACAAAUAUAAAAGAUAGUAAAAUUCAUUAUAAAAAUAACUAUCAUACAAAAUUCUCAUGUAUAAGUUUGUAUCAUACAAGAAGUUCUUUUAAAUUGUUAUUUUGAAGAAAAUAAAAACCUUUCCGCAGUAUCUGUUGAUUUUUACCCGACUCUUUUUAAAUUUUUAGAAAAUUGAAUUAUUUGUUUUAAAGCAGAAUUAAUCAAUGAACGAUUGGUUUUUAAGGGAGAAAUUUAAAGUUAAAUGAACACCACAAAAAACAAAAGCUAUUGUAUUUAUUCAAUGGGACACUUAACUUAAUUGGCCAAAAAAAACAGCUGAUUCUGAUGACAGGUUUUGUUUCCUUUACAUUAACACUUGAAACAUAUGAACCAUUCAUAUAUUAUUAUGCACAAUGAAUUUUGUUUGUAGAAUGAAAUAUAAUAUCCACAAGUCAACAUGGAAAUGAAAUAUGAAUAUGUCAUGAAAUGACUGCUUUUGUAGCACCAGGAAUGAGGACACAUACUUAGAAAAAGUAUAAUGACACACACAAAAACACAUCAUAACAAAAGUGUCCUAAUUAAACACUAAAACAGUUCAAAUGGCUGUUUUUUCUCCAAUGUAACCAUUGUCCGCUAUUUGCCUUGAGGGCAUAUCCAACAGUUUAUUUCUGACGGUGAAAUUUUUUCCCUUUAAGAUAUAUAGGCUAUUAUUUUUUACCUGCUUAAAUCAAAUAUGUAAUAAAAAAUAUACCUUCAUGUGCUACUUUUUGAGCAAAAUGUGGUUGAAAUUUCAGAUAUUUGCUCAAAAUUCAGAUUUGUGGACGUAUUUUUCCUCCCGACAGAAAUGCAUAACUUUUUUGUUUUAAAAGAUAAACACAAGCUGUAUUUUGUUAAAUUAUUUAUAAGUUCUCUUUUAUAUAAGUAUCCCAUAAAUUUAUGAUAUAUUUUGUUUAGAAAUAACAACUUUUUUGUUUUAAAAGAUAAACACAAGCUGUAUUUUGUUAAAUUAUUUAUAAGUUCUCUUUUAUAUAAGUAUCCCAUAAAUUUAUGAUAUAUUUUGUUUAGAAAUAACUAAAAUUUAUCAAAUGUUCAUGAAUAUAGAAAAAACAUCAUUUUUUGCUGUAUAUUUAACAAAUUAAAAAAAAAUUGCAUCAUUGACUUUUUCAUGAAAUUUGGUACAAAUAAUCUUCAUACCUAAUCAAACCGAAUGUCAUUUUAAAAAAAGAGGGAUCCAUGAACUCGUUUAAAAGUUAAAUCAGUUUGAAUGAUAAAAAUCAAUCAAAAAAUGCAUCUAUUCCCGGUAUGUCACAGUUUGACGUCAAAAAUAUAAUUUUUUCGUUAGCGACGUCAUUACCUCCCCUGUAACUGUAACAUAUACCCUUAACACAUUAAAACAUGCACAACAUAUUUUUUUUGCUGGAUUGAGAAAUAGUCCAGCAGCAAAAUAACUCUGGGGAAUUUCUUUUCAAUGUUUUCACCACAAAAUCAUUGAAACAAGAGGCCCAACUGUGCCUGUAUCACUCACCUAGUGAAUAAUUUGCUAGUUUUCUAGGACUUUUAUGUGCACAUACUAUAGGAAUAUAUUUUAUUGAUGUUCAUUUUUUUUAAAUACUCCAGUUAAUAAAAAUCCACAACAGGUUUUCAAUGUAAACAAUGUAAACUUUUCAUUUCUCCAAAUUCAUCAAAAAUAAAAUUAAACAUAAAAGCAAAAAAAAAUAAUUAAAAAAUUGGUGAUGAGACAAUGCAUGGAAGAUCUUUUUAUUUUAAAUUGCACAAAAUGUCUCUACGAUAAGUCUUGAACAAAGAUAAGUUUGAAAAUUUUAGAAACCAUUACUUUUGUUUUGUUAUAAAAAAAGUAGAGUGAUACCAGCCUUUUAAAAUGCCCCCCUCCCUCGAUCUUACACUGUUGAGACAAUUAACUAAUUUUAUUCUGAAAUGAAGUUGUAAAUGAUUUUUUAAAUUUAUUUUGUACAGAUUUCAUAUUAAAACAUAUAUAUCCUUUCUGAUAUUACAUGGAUGUCAACAUAAAUCAUCCAAGUUCUCCCUGCACUUUCUAAUAACAAUUAUAUUAUAUCUAAAAUAACAAAAUUUGAAGUCAAUGUCAUUAAGGCGUGUAUAGUCUGGCAAAUCUUUACAAAUCAUUUACAAA
rnacentral:lncRNA from 1 species